rnacentral:rRNA from 1 species
CCUACGUGAGGCAGCAGUCGAGAAUCAUUCACAAUGGGGGAAACCCUGAUGGUGCGACGCCGCGUGGGGGAAUGAAGUUCUUCGGAUUGUAAACCCCCGUCAUGUGGGAGCAAAUUAAAACGAUCGUACCACAAGAGGCAGAGACGGCUAACUCUGUGCCAGCAGCCGCGGUAAUAUAGAGGUCUCAAGCGUUGUUCGGAAUCACUGGGCGUAACGCGGGCGUAGGCUGUUUCGUAAGUCGUGUGUGAAAGGCGCGGGCUCAACCCGCGGACGGCACAUGAUACUGCGAGACUAGAGUAAGGGAGGGGGAACAGGAAUUCUCGGUGUAGCAGUGAAAUGCGUAGAUAUCGAGAGGAACACUCGUGGCGAAGGCGGGUUCCUGGACAUUAACUGACGCUGAGGCACGAAGGCCAGGGGAGCGAAAGGGAUUAGAUACCCUGGUAGUC